CCCUUAGAUGUUCUGGGCCGCACGCGCGCUACACUGAUGCAUGCAACGAGUUUAUAACCUUGGCCUGAAAGGUCUGGGUAAUCUUUUGAACGAGCAUCGUGAUAGGGAUAGAUUAUUGCAAUUGUUAAUCUUGAACGAGGAAUUCCUAGUAAACGCGAGUCAUCAGCUCGCAUUGAUUACGUCCCUGCCCUUUGUACACACCGCCCGUCGCACCUACCGAUUGAAUGGUUCGGUGAAGAUCUCGGACUUCGAUAUUUAUUCUUUAUUGAGUUUAUAUUGUGGGAAGUUAUCUAAACCUCAUCAUUUAGAGGAAGGUGAAGUCGUAACA
rnacentral:rRNA from 1 species